UAAUGAUGGCGCGGUGCGGUGC
rnacentral:miRNA from 2 species